rnacentral:rRNA from 1 species
AUUGAACGCUGGCGGCAGGCCUAACACAUGCAAGUCGAGCGGAUGAGGGGAGCUUGCUCCCUGAUUUAGCGGCGGACGGGUGAGUAAUGCCUAGGAAUCUGCCUGGUAGUGGGGGAUAACGUUCCGAAAGGAGCGCUAAUACCGCAUACGUCCUACGGGAGAAAGCAGGGGACCUUCGGGCCUUGCGCUAUCAGAUGAGCCUAGGUCGGAUUAGCUAGUUGGUGAGGUAAUGGCUCACCAAGGCGACGAUCCGUAACUGGUCUGAGAGGAUGAUCAGUCACACUGGAACUGAGACACGGUCCAGACUCCUACGGGAGGCAGCAGUGGGGAAUAUUGGACAAUGGGCGAAAGCCUGAUCCAGCCAUGCCGCGUGUGUGAAGAAGGUCUUCGGAUUGUAAAGCACUUUAAGUUGGGAGGAAGGGCUGCUGGUUAAUACCCUGCAGUUUUGACGUUACCAACAGAAUAAGCACCGGCUAACUUCGUG